GUAAAUUUCAAAAGGAAAGUCCUUAUAAUCAAAUGGCAAAAUCAAAAGCUUUAACACAUCAAACGAAUGGAUAAUUAAAAUUGUCAUAUUCCUAACUUGGCAAAGACAUGGUGGAUUGAACUUGGUUUUAUAGCUAGCUAAACCUCUCUCUUGUAUGACAGUCACAUCAAAUUCCAUUAUAUUGACAACGAUGCGUGAACAAAACAAACAGACACAAUAUGUAAAAAUUUAAAAAAUAGGGG
rnacentral:lncRNA from 1 species